CCUCACGCCGCUAUAAAUAGCCGGGGACGUGGGGUUGUCGUUCUCUUUGUGCGAUUGUCUGGCUGCGCCGGGUUCUGGAGUGCUGCUUCGCCCCCCUCGGGGCUGCCGGGCUCCCUCCCCGACACCCGGGGAGGCGAUGGCCCCGACUUCCUGGGAGUCCCUGGUCCCCGCAGGCGUGUCCGCAGCGCCUCGAGGGUUUCUAAAGAUGUCCGCCGGAGUGUUAACCGUUGAAUAAAGCGUGAUUAUUCUGGAAGCCUAGCUGGGGUCGCUCCCUUUCAGAUUAGGCACCGGUCUGGUGGCGGCUGAAAUCUUUUGAAUUCGCCCUCUUGGAGAGAUGCUGUGGAGAGAUGUCUGUAAUGCCUAGGUAAUGGCUCCUGCCACUUGAACCUGCAGGUUGUGAUGAGAAGAGCCACAUUGUUUCUUUCUGGCUACUAUGGUGUUAACGCAGAGGAUUAUCUCCUAUCUGGUGUUGGGCAGAUCCUAGGAACUUCCAUCUAACCUCCUUGCAUUGACCUGUAUGAGCAGCAGCUGUCAACUUACUGGAAAAAUGAAACUGCCCAGGAAUUUUGAGAUGCUUAAAUAUUUUUAGAUCAAUAAGACUUCUUUAAUAAAAACAUUUGUUUUUAUUAAAAA